CCUACGGGAGACAGCAGUGGGGGAUAUUGCACAAUGGGGGAAACCCUGAUGCAGCGACGCCGCGUGUGGGAAGACGGUCCUCUGGAUUGUAAACCACUGUCCCCAGGGACGAAGAUGACGGUACCUGGGGAGGAAGCUCCGGCUAACUACGUGCCAGCAGCCGCGGUAAUACGUAGUGAGCGAGCGUUGUCCGGAAUUACGGGGUGAAAAGGGAGCGUAGGCGGGGAUGCAAGUUGGGUGUCAAAACUACCGGCUCAACUGGUAGUCGCACUCAAAACUGCAGCUCUUGAGUGAAGUAGAGGCAGGCGGAAUUCCUAGUGUAGCGGUGAAAUGCGUAGAUAUUAGGAGGAACACCAGUGGCGAAGGCGGCCUGCUGGGCUUUUACUGACGCUGAGGCUCGAAAGUGUGGGGAGCAAACAGGAUUAGAUACCCUAGUAGUC
rnacentral:rRNA from 1 species